GGUCCUAUGGUGCAGUGGUCAGCAUGGUGCUCUUAUACUUAUAUACAAUUGUGUAUUGAACAUAUGAGUUAUGCAUAGGUCGUGGGUUCAAUCCCCACUAGGACCA
rnacentral:tRNA from 1 species